GCCCGGAGCCGGAAGGGCCCGGACAGUGGCGGGGCUGUGGGGCUGGAGGCGUGGGGCGGCGCUGAGGCUCCGGUCUUGUCCCGGCGGCGGGUGCAGAGCCGCGAGCCCCUCCGACAUCCGCCUCUCCAGAGGGCGGGCGCUCCGAGGCCCGCGGUGCACCGCCCUGUCAUUCUAAACCUGACUGCCGUAAUUGCUAUUGAAGAUAAUUGAACAGCAAAUAGGAGCAUGGCAACAAAUCCUCCUGGACAAGACUAGAUAUCCGGUCCAAGAGCCAGCUACAAGAUAAUGGGCAUAGAGAAGGAGAGAAAAGGAGCAGGUAUAAGAUUAUGAAUGACGAUUUAGCUCAUGACCACCCCCAAGAAGAAGUCAUUCAGUACCAACCAAACUGUUCUCAGAAGGUUUUCAAAAUAAGAACCGAGUAGCAAUCCUGGCAGAACUAGACAAGGAGAAAAGGAAAUUACUUAUGCAAAACCAAUCUUCAACAAAUCAUCCUGGAGCCAGCAUUGCCCUCUCCAGGCCCCCCCUUAAUAAGGAUUUUCGUGAUCAUGCUGAACAGCAGCACAUUGCUGCGCAGCAGAAAGCUGCCUUACAGCAUGCUCAUGCACAUUCUUCGGGAUACUUCAUAACUCAGGACUCUGCAUUUGGAAAUCUCAUUCUUCCUGUUUUACCUCGGCUUGACCCAGAAUGAAGGAAAAUGUUUGCAUUGGGGAAAAUAACUUUGUAAAAUGAACUGCCAAAGUUACUGUCGUUCUGAUUCACUCUGUGCUAAGCAAUGACUCACUUUUUUUGGUGAGAUUUUGUAUUUCAUGCCUUGUUACAAGAAAGGCACUUUACAUCUAUGCAGGUGAAAUGUAUAUAAAUGGUGCAUGUUAUGUACACAGUCUAUAACCAUUCUGUAAUGCACUGCGUUUAUUUAUACCAACAUGUUUGACUGCUUUAAAUAUUUUUUUUAUUCUUAAGUAGGAUGAAGUAUACAAUGAGACCAGACUAGAAUAUAGAAAAACUACGAAAGGUACUUAACUUUAAGGAAAUGCCGUUUUUCAUUCUAAACAAAUAGGGUUGGCUAUAGAAAACAUCCAUUCUUCUUGGUGUUUUAUCAGACUGUUAUUAGUAUACCCGCAGAAUUCAUGUUCUUGAACAUAUUGGUUUGGAAAAUGAUCCUGAAAUCUUUUAUGUGGCCUCAUCUCUGGUUUUCCUAGUCUCACUUUUAAUCCUAGAACAGAGAUGUUAGUCCAAAUUACAAACUCGUAUUAUACAUUUUUUUGGUAUUUCUUAAAUAUGAAAUUUAUGUAAAUAUUGUCAACACAUGAUAUUAAAAGUUACUGUGACAAUAA